GAUGAACGCUGGCGGCGUGCCUAAUACAUGCAAGUCGAGCGAACAGAUGAGUAUCUUGCUCCUCUGACGUUAGCGGCGGACGGGUGAGUAACACGUGGAUAACCUACCUAUAAGACUGGUAUAACUUCGUGAAACCGGAGCUAAUACCGGAUAAUAUCUUGAACCGCAUGGUUCAAUAGUGAAAGACGGUUUUGCUGUCACUUAUAGAUGGAUCCGCGCCGCAUUAGUUAGUUGGUACGGUAACGGCUUCCCAAGGCAACGAUGGGUAGCCGACCUGCGAGGGUGAUGGGCCCCACUGGAACUGAGACACGGCCCAGGCUCCUACGGGAGGCAGAGGUAGGGAAGCUUGCGCACUGGGCGAAAGCUUGACGAAGCAGCGCCGCGUGGGUGAUGAAGGUCUUCGGAUCGUAAGACGCUGUUAUUGGGGAAGAACAAAUGUGUAAGGAGCUAUGCACGUCUUGACGGUACCUAAUCAGAAAGCCACGGCUAACUACGUG
rnacentral:rRNA from 1 species